ACCAGUGCAUUUAUUGAUCCUCCUAACGCGUACUAGCACUGCAUGAAAACGCAUUAAUGUUUUAAUGCUUAAUGUAGAGAUUGGUCUUAUGAGGCACCUGCUACAACGAUACUUGGUACAUUAGGAUGAUUCCUUUUCUUUUUAUCAGAGAUUUUCCAGUUUAAUGUAGAGAACCUCAGAUCACUCAACAAGCACUUUGUUUCCUCAUGGGGACCCUCCACACUGGGAGGUGUGUCUGGUCUGCCUGCAGGGACGUCGUCUUUAGAUCGCUCAGACCUGGAGGACUGGGGGGUUCUGCACCGUGUGUGUCGUCUACCGCGGUGUAUCUGGGUCAGGGUGGUCAACGUGACUGUGACAUUUCUCGGUGUGUAUGGCCCCCCUUUAGGUGGUUUUUCCACACCCGUUUCCUCAGUGCUCUGCCAUGUUACUGGACCUUCUAAAAUGCUGUGCGUGUGCGUAUUUUGUGUGUGUGUGUGUGUGUGUGUAAGUGCGUGGGUCGAUAUAUGGGCUUGGUUUUUAUUAUUUUCUGUAAUGUUGGAUGUUUUUAUUUUGUGUGAAGCACGUUGCGAUGGAUUUUGUAUGAAACGUGCUGUAUAGAUAAAGUUUGAGUUGAUCAGAUUUGAUCCAGCCAUAGCAGGAGUUUGUAUUGUGGGGACAAACUGUAGGAAGUCUUAGCUAAUGAUUGACUAUUGGUCAAAAAUUAAUGUAAUUACUGAACCCAAACAAAAAUAAAUAAUUAUUGAACCAAACAAACAACAUGUGUUUCAACCUUAAUCAUCUCAAAUAUCGUUAACUCCCACUCACUUCUCCAGGAGCCGCUGACCCACAUUGAGGUUACGGGGAGGCGUCAUGUAAGCCGUAUUAACACCUGAAUGAAUCGCCUCUAAUCAUAUCUACGUUAAACUGAUCAGAUCUGUUUUGUAAAUAGGUCGCAUGUGACCCCUCACAGUUGCUUCACUGUGUCCUUCACACAGACAGUGGUGACUUUGAGGUUUAGCAAAAACACUAAACAGGUUGUUUUGCUACUAAAUAACUGUCUGUUAAGCUGAAUAAAAGAUGACACAUAGGUGCAGUCUAUAAGCAUUUUAUUGUUAUUUUGUUUUUACUAACAGUAUCAAGUCAUGACAUGAAACAGAUAAAAAUAACUUUUUACAAACUUGAGUUUUUUGUUUUUUUUUUAAACUUUUGGUCAUAAUAAAAAGAUAAUAUACACAGGCAUAAAGAAAGAGCACACUCUAUUGACUACAAGUGAAAAAACACCA